GAAAGAAAAAGAGAACAUGAAUUUAAAGGAAGCAAUCGGAGGCUCAGCAGGUUGAAAAAUGUUCCCAACUUCACAGAGCUGCCGGGUGCCAGGCCUGUCUGGUUCUAAAGCCUUGUUGGUGCCAUCGACACAGAAAGUGGGACACCAUUUCUGACACCACUGCUAGGUGGAUCCUAGCAGCCACCCAUCUGGAUGAAACCUGAUUCACCUGGGGUUGUAGCUGAUACUGUUUACUCCAACCCCAGGACUCUUCGCCUGAGGACAAACUCAGACAAGGGCCCUAAUGAUCAUCCCUUCUCUACCUGGGAUUCAGUUUCCCCAUCUGGAUGGAAGGAGCCUGAGCCGGAUGAUUUGGAAGCAGUCUAUUUGAUGUUCUGAGAGUCUAGACCUGCUCUCCAGCCCCUCCUGCCUCUGGUAUAUAAAGUCCUACAAAUAUCUGGCCUCCUGUCUUUCUCACCACAGGCUGGGAGAUCCCUCAGACCUGAGGGUGAUUAGCUCUUC